rnacentral:lncRNA from 1 species
AAAGGGGAGGGGGCUGCGAGGGAGCAAGAAGAGAGCUUGGAGACUGGAAUUUUCCAGGCUCUGAGCUCACGCUGUAUGCUUCCUCUGUGAUAAGUCGCCGAGUAGAAAUGCGGGUCUUUGUCCGCAAUAGCGUGGUCACUCUUCCUUCCUGGGUGAGCCUCUCUCAUAGAGGUGAUGCACGCACAGCAGUCAGCCCGGUGCCAAAUCUCCUAAGAGCCAGGGGAGGAUGGCAGCUAUUGGAUCUAGAAUAGACUAUGGAUGAAGAGAACUAGAAUGACUUAAGAUUGAUCCAGAUGGUGGGAGAUGCUCAAAACUUUGGUGAGAACAAGAAGGAAAGCACAGAGAGGAGGCAUACUCUAACUGAAGCUGGUGCACUCUGAAGACAAGAGUCACAGUGUGAGCAUAGCGCCCACCCUGCCAAGUGCUCUCCUGAUUCAUGAGUAAAAUGCCCAACUAAGCCCAAGAGCUAUGAACUGAACCAUCAAUCAAAGGGACUUAAUGGUUUUCUUGGAAGCAGCUCAGCAUAGCCAAUGACGUUGAGACACCCAUUUCCAAUAUAUUAAAA